rnacentral:rRNA from 1 species
GGGGGGGGGGGGGGGGGGGGGGGGGGGGGGGGGGGCGGGGGGGAGGGCGGGGGGGGUGGCGGGGGGGGGAGUGGCGCGUAAGGGGGUGGCCGCGGAGCUAGGGACCACAGUUGGAAAGGGAUGCUGAUGCCUGAUAUUAUGAUUUUAGGGCGUCCUAGCAGUAUGACAGCUAUAUGCGCUGUGAGAGAGCUUUGCGUCCCAUUAGCUAGUUGGAGAGGUAACGGCUCACCAAGGCGAGGAUGGGUGGCCGUCCUGAGAGGGUGACCGGCCACAAGGGGACUGAGACACGGCCCUUACGCCUACGGGAGGCAGCAGUGGGGAAUAUUGGACAAUGGACCAAGAGUCUGAUCCAGAAAUUCUGUGUGCACGAUGAAGUUUUUCGGAAUGUAAAGUGCUUGCAGUUGGGGAGAAAAAAAUGACGGUACCAACAGAAGAAGCGACGGCUAAAUACGUG